GCAAAACAUUGCUGUGAAUGUGUAUGGAUACCCUGUGGCUAGGGAGCUGCUGCUCUUCCAUCACCUUCCUCACUCCCUGUUUGUGAGCCCAUCUGUUGGGAAAGAUAUCUCUCACCAUGUCUCAAGCAAACUGGAAGGCGGGAGGGAGGCAGAGAGGGAAGACUGAGGGUACAUCAGCAUAUAUGGACCAAGGGGUAAGAAUUUGUGGUGCUUUGGAGAACAUAGAUAGGCUGGGAGAAGGACACUGAGGUAGCACAGAGCCUGGAGUGCCAUGAAGAGCUGAGAGUUCAGGAUGAAGUACUAGGGAGGAUGCACCUCCCAGGGAAAGGCCCUGUGCUUUCAUAACUUCUUCAUCUCUGGUUUGUGCAUUGGGUGGUGGUAGGGGAUACCUGAGGAAUGGGAUGUGGUGUGGAAUUUAUGGAAGGCUGUUAGACUGAGAAUCUGAGGUCUAAGGAAAACCGUCUUUUUUAAGAAGAGAGGAGUGGCUCUCAUUAGCUGUGUUUUAGGCCACUGAUGAUCCCACUGCUGCUGAGUUGGAACCAUAGGAUUACCAGCUGCAUGUGUUUGAUAGGUUCAGAGUCAUCCUGGUUUCUGUUUCUGUCAUCUUGCACUGAGUGACUGCAUGAAAUCCCUCUUCCCAGUCAUGUUGGAAGCCAAUUCCUGCUACCUUAAACACAAUCAGAAUCGUGUUAAGUCAGUUACCAUGCUAAGAUGUUACCAGCUUGUCUUUCUCUUGCUUGUAAACUCGACAAAAAGAUUUGGGAAUCCUUUGUGGUGAUGUAAGAUGAGUUACCUUCAGUGUGAUUAGUGAAUCUUCCUGUACUCAGAUCAGGUAUAAUCAGAGCUCUUAGUUAUACUUCUAAUUGGCAUAUUCCUCUUCUUAAUCUUUUUUAUUUUUAUAUAAAAGUGUAUCUAAGAUGAAAAAGCUUUUUAAACUACACAUUUGUGAAUAGUAUUUGUCUCCUUCAAAUCACCAUUUGCUCCCCACUUCCAUUCUGAGGAUGUAAACUGAAUUUUCAGUGUCUAUGGUUCUGGUGUCCACAUAGUAAUGUGGACUUUCAGAUUCUUUUCUCAUGGGAAGACAAAGCUAUCAAAUUCCUGAUAGAGCAUUAGUAGUUCUGGAAACAAUAAAUGCACAUUUGUAAAAUCCUGAAAGAUCAUUAAUUUUUCUAGUAGAUAUUACUGGUUUAAAUUCUAGUGAUUCAAGAAAGUGGUAAUGUACAGAUGAUUAAAACUGUAGAUUGGAUAGAGGGAAAUAAAAACAUAAGCAUAUAACACAAACAGUGAAAAAAAAAGGAUUUUAAAAAUGUAUGAUUAGUCACUGACUUUCAUACUCCAUUGGAAGGAUGUUUCUUGAACUGAUUGGGAUGUUGAAGAUAGCUACUUAAACAUGCAAUUUUGGGGAAAUUUUCAACAAGCAGUAUUAAUAAUAUCAAGGAGUGAAAAUUUCAUUUGCAUUAUUGAGAGCCACGUGAUUUGAGAUUUUAACCUACAUAUAAAGAAUAUUUCAUUCCUAAGUCAAGAAAAAUAGGUAUCUUGCAUAUAUGAGUUGUCAGACUAUUAAUAUUGCUGAAUACCCCUUUUUACUCAGUAAUAGAUUUCAGUGAUAAGAAUAUUUGAAAAUACCUUUUUAAGAUAAAGAUCACACUGGAAGUGACACUUCUAGUUUCUUUGCCAAGUAUUCUCAUGGUUAAACUAGAAAAUUUCCCUUUUUAGUCUGCUCUCAACGAUGUGAUAAGGUGCAAUUACCUUACCACAGUAUAAUGUGUUCAGCUGACACCUGCUGAGCUCACCCCAUUUGCUGAGUGAAAAAUGUUGACCUGAAUCAUCUUCACUGAAAGUUACCUUCUGGUUGGGAUGGAAAAUUAUGAGUAGUGCUCAUCAUUGGUUACAACAAGUCAAGGAGCAGGUCAGAACUCAUUAAGCCCAUCACACUGCUGAAUCUAGUACCCCUAAGUUAUCACACAGACUUUAACAGGCAGAUUGUAGAUAGCUAGCUUUUGAAAGAGCUCUAAAAUGUGUAGAUAUGCAACUUAAUCUUUGAGCUUUACUACGGUGCUGGAUUCAGCUGGUUGUAGAUUUCUUGUAAAGAUCUUGAAUCAGACCGCAAGCACACUUUUAGGCUAGGGUGAUAACCUAAGUGAUAGUUACUGUCUAAAAGCAGAGAACAAGGUCUGAUUGGCCAAAUCUGCUUGAACAUCUCUGCUUCAUUUUCCUUAUUUAGAAUAUAAGAUAGAUAUAUCCUCAAAAGUGCUUUUCCAUGCUUACUUACAAUACAGUUUCUGUAAAGCAGUUGGAAGAUGAAAAUCUGUUCAAAAAAAACUAUGUGGCCUUGACUCUCUUGUUCCUCCUUAAUAUGCUGUCAGACACCUAAUGAGAGAGCUCUUGACUCAGCAGAAAUCUGCACUUCUUAAGCUUCAAGACUUCUGUAUUGCUGAAUCACACCAGCAUAACAGUGCAAUAAAUUAUAUUGUCCAUUUCUUAGACGACAGGGGAGGAGGGAAUGGACUGCAGCUUAUACCAACAGUUUAAUGGUAAAACCUGAAUUUUGCUAGAGUAUCCACAUGUGCAACUGCGCUGUUUGGGGUCCUGUUGGUAAAUUUCAGAGUAGAAGUGUAAUUGCUUCUGUAUCACUUUGUUCCAUGAAUAUGAAGCUCAUGUGAAUACUGUAUUACCUGUGGCAAUGCAGACAGUAGUUCAUUAAUAAUACAAGAAUGCUCUGGGUUUUCUGGUCUCAAGGAGAGAAGGAGCAGCGUGAGUACACGACCAAAUUAUUUCAGGAGUGAAGAUGCUUAUUUAGGGGUGGCAAAAGACUUUCAGAAACUCACUAUUUCAGAGAGUAUCAAAAAUGCUGGACAAAGGAGAGAGCUAGCAACUGUCACACCAGCUGGAGAGCAGAAUAAGUGAAUCUGGGGCUGCUCUUCUGUCCUGUUGUGGUUGUGCAGAGCUGUAUGCCAGGAUGGGCAUGUCACAGCAGGGGACACCGGGCACAUCACAGCACAGUUCUGGAAGGAGCCGUGAAAGUGCAGGCUGACAAUGAGCUUGUAGAGAUGGGGUCACAAAAUUCAAAUGCUGUGGAGAGCUGUUGGCUCCUUGAAACUCAACUUCUCCAACCUCAGAUGAAUCCAGAAAAUAUAUCACCCUGGAAGAAAGAAUGGAGCUCAGGUAGGUGUACUCUUUUAUCAUUACAUUUUUUUCCUCUUUAUUUAUUCAUGGGCCCUGAAUCUACUUUUAUUCUCUUACUACUCUUCCCCCCAUUUCUCAAAACACUGCCAGACCCACAAAGACAGAAAACAGGAACUGCCUUUUGAAGUAGCUGGUUUAUUUCAACAGCAUGCACUGGCAGUCAGAGACGGAAAGAAGAGAGAAAAGACUAGGCUUCAGAUGGGGAAUUUGAAGAGGCAUCUUCUUCACAUUUGUGGAAAACUUCGCAUGAGAGGAUGAAAGGAUAACAUAUUCUUCAAAAUUUUCAAGAGCACUAAACCAAGAUUUCCGUGGUGGGGUGGGGGGAUGGAAUGCGUGCUUGAAGAAACACAGAACUGGAGAGGGACACAGGAAUGUGGAUGAAGUCCUUUAGGCUCUCUAGAGAGGGCAAAUGUAGAUUCAGCAAAGCUUUAUGAGACAAAAGAUCCAUGAGGUGUAUACUCCUACAGCCCAGCUGUGCACCCCACUAUCCUCUUGAGGCUUUCCCUGUACUUGUACCUGCUGGCCAACUGAUUGGUGUAGCAUGCCACAAUUUCUGCACAGCCCCAGGGGAAAAUCACAGUAGUGAUGAGUGUUUGUAUUCUGAUCUCAGAGUUGGGUAGAAACAAGAAGAAAUUUCACACAAUUUUCUAGCCUGAUCAUCUUUAAGAACAAGACACAGAAAAUCGUGACAUAUCUAUUUGUCUGCUGGUUUGCAUACAUCUAGAGGAUUCUCUCACUUCUACAUCUUAUUUUUUAACUACUCUUGGCCAGUUUCAGGGAAAAAUUCAUAGAUUGAUAGUAAUCUCAAAGCCUAUGAAGUUGUUACAAUGUUUGGGAAGAGAGGUGACCCAGCAGAUGAUAGAUUCCAAAUAGGAAAGCAGCCUUUAAGAGAUCCAGACCAGGAAGAUGGCUGUAGCUGAAGUUUAUACCUGUUUUUUUAUGUGAAAGUCAAGCGAACACAAGGCAUGAAGUUAUUGGAGGAAAGUAUGAUCUGUUCUUUGUGAUACUCACAGGCCAGAUUCUUAAGUGACUGUACAUGAGAACUGUUUUCACCAUUACUCAAUAAAGUUGUUGUAUAU